CCUACGGGAUGCAGCAGUGAGGAAUAUUGGUCAAUGGACGAGAGUCUGAACCAGCCAAGUAGCGUGAAGGAUGACUGCCCUAUGGGUUGUAAACUUCUUUUAUAUGGGAAUAAAAUGUUCCACGUGUGGGAUUUUGUAUGUACCAUAUGAAUAAGGAUCGGCUAACUCCGUGCCAGCAGCCGCGGUAAUACGGAGGAUCCGAGCGUUAUCCGGAUUUAUUGGGUUUAAAGGGAGCGUAGGUGGAUUGUUAAGUCAGUUGUGAAAGUUUUCGGCUCAACCGUAAAAUUGCAGUUGAAACUGGCAGUCUUGAGUACAGUAGAGGUGGGCGGAAUUCGUGGUGUAGCGGUGAAAUGCUUAGAUAUCACGAAGAACUCCGAUUGCGAAGGCAGUUCACUGGACUGCAACUGACACUGAGGCUCGAAAGUGUGGGUAUCAAACAGGAUUAGAUACCCCUGUAGUC
rnacentral:rRNA from 1 species